GUGCCAGCAGCCGCGGUAAUACGUAGGUGGCAAGCGUUGUCCGGGAAUUAUUGGGCGUAAAGGGCUCGCAGGCGGUUUCUUAAGUCUGAUGUGAAAGCCCCCGGCUCAACCGGGGAGGGUCAUUGGAAACUGGGGAACUUGAGUGCAGAAGAGGAGAGUGGAAUUCCACGUGUAGCGGUGAAAUGCGUAGAGAUGUGGAGGAACACCAGUGGCGAAGGCGACUCUCUGGUCUGUAACUGACGCUGAGGAGCGAAAGCGUGGGGAGCGAACAGGAUUAGAUACCCUGGUAGUCC
rnacentral:rRNA from 1 species